ensembl:lncRNA
AUGCUGCCCUCAAAGCUCAGCCUAACACUGGUCUCACUGGUUUCUCUGGGAGCAGAGCUGAAACACUUUGGAAAAUUCCUUUAUUCAGCUCCAACAGCAGACUUUGUCCAGUUUUGUUGGGCGGGUCCCAAACAUGACAAUUUAAUUAGGAGGUCUAGACCCUGCAUGCUUAUGCUUACACCAAAGUGCCUAUUCCAGAUAUCCAGCGGGACCAAGAACAAGUUCUUCUAUCAAAGCCACGCAAGCUUUUUGACAUCCUGUGCUAAGGGUUUGGAUUUCCUUUCCUUAAAGACAUGGUGUGAUGUAGAGCUAGACAAAACAAAAGUUGUUUUAGUAGCUUAACAAGCGGAUCAGCAUGCACAAGUCUACUCUACCCAGGGACCGAGUUGCUGCUCCUUCGCGUUGUCGUGGGCAGCCCUAAAUUACAGGCCUGCUUCAGCUGGUUAUUAGCAAGAUCUGAGUGUUUGCGGCUUCAGGUGGGAAUGGCAGCAUCCCCACCCUGCUGCCCUGUGCUGAAGGGAAGGGUGGAAGCAGGGCCAUGCAAUCCCUGAGCCUGCAGACAUGAGGACACACCAGUGACCGGGCCUGGCCGACCUCGCUCCUGGGGAGGGGAACAAGGUGCCAGGGGCUUCCCCGGGAACAGAAGGCACUUUUUUUCUGUCAGAGAACAUGGAAAAAAAUGACACAGGGUGAGUGUAGAGACGGCUCUUUGUCCUGGAGCACAGUCAGCAAAUGGUCUUUGGGAAACCGUGGUCGAACACAAAGCAGGGCCUUCCCAAGCACCUUUCCAAAUGCAGUGGCUGGUCACUUGCAGCUGUUAGACUGGAUCACAUGAGGGAACAGUCACAAACCUUCUUUGUUAUUGUUGGUUUUGUGCCAGAGCUGACAAAUCUUGGUCUGAAACAUCCGCAGACACGACAGCAGUAGCUUCUUACAAAUGCUGCUUGGAGCUGGCCCGCAGACCCAGGUACACAAGGCUCAACUAAAACCUUGCUCAAGAGAGGCUCAGCACAUGUGCCACCAUUACGCCCAGGGGACACGCCAGCUUGACUCAUCCCCACGCUGUCAUCGUGUCGGUGCCCCCAGCUACACCAUGCCAGCUGCCCCGGAGCUACAACAAAAGGUUGCAGUGAUGAGCAAAGGUGACAAACGGCUCCUACAAGUGAAAACCAGAUUUGUUAGUGCUAUCCUGCCCAAAACUCUCAGCCCACUUCUCCGCACUAAAGAAGGAUGUUAUAACAGAUAUGACAACUGCAAUGGUUUGUUGCCAUAGGCAGUAGGGGUUGACCACAUUCUACCAUUUCGGUCCAUGAAGACUUUGGGUGCUCCCAAGCCCAGGUACUGAACAGUGACUUGCUUACAUAGGCUCAUCACUGUGUAAGGCAAGCAGUUUUACCACCUUUACACCCUAAAGAUUUCACAGCUUUAGCAUUAAAAUGCCUCACAUGAAAGGUUGUUCAACUUUUCUUUCUCCACAGUGUAAGCCACAGCCUGUGGAAGCCAAAGGCUUCAAGCCUGAUACAGGGCCAGAUUGCCAGAGCUCUUGGCAGCUGAGGUUUAGAAAAAACAAAUGCACAAACCCCAAAACCUCCCCCACUGCACUGCAGUCUGCAAAGCAAGGGUUGAACUGCACUGUUCUCACUGGGGGAGGAGAGGAAACUGCUUAUACCACUGUAGUUAGUGCAGUUAAUGACAGGAUUUAAAGAAGAAAGAAGAUAAUUACUACUAUGAUAUGUUGGGCAGGCUCUAAGACCUGUUGCUGACUCCUUCUGUGACUGGCACAUGGAUUUCUUAGCAUGUCAUCUGCCCAUAUAGAGAUUUUCCCUGAGAGAGCUAAAUCUUCCCCAUACCAAGUAAGGGUGAUAGUAGAUCCUACAUAAUAUUGUAUAUUCUCUUGCAGUUUGUAUUAAAUUGAUAUACAUGCUUAGGUCAUUGGUUUAUGCCAUCCUAGGCACUAGAAGGCUUCCAUUUAACUUCUCCACUUCCAUGCUUAUAUUGUGCAGUAUGGUGGAUUUGGAGCAACUUUACCCUAUGCUAACACAUUACUAAGUCUUGUGUGUCACUAGUGAUUGGAUUAGCAUUUAGUUUUGCAUUUGUUGAUUAGAAGCUGCUCUCACCUGAAGUAUCAGCAUCUUGCCUUGUAAAUGAAUGAACUCAUUCUCCAGUCUCACAGUGGAAAAGAAACAUACAUACCAUUCUGAUUUGUGAUUUUUUUUUUUAAACUAGCAAUUUAUCACACUUUUCAUAAAGCAUGUAUUUGUAAUGAGAAUUGGAAACUGAUCUGCCUCCCCUGCCCUGUAUCUAUACUUUCUUUUGUGGGCUGCAGGAUGUUUUUCUGUGCUACUGAGGUAUCGCACCGCCUCCCAUACCUGCUCACGUCUUACAAGAACUGAAACCAAAGGCUGUUUCCUGACAGCACAGCAACUGAGCCUGAAGAAAAGAAACUAUCAGAUGUUUCUGUGUAACAGCUGCAUGUCAAAAAUAGUAGACAAGCCAACAGCUUCACUAUACUACAAGCAUAGGAAGCAUACUGCCUCUAAGAAACAUGUUUCUCAUUUAUUGGAAGUGGGCAAGUGAGUCUUGUUUCCAUAAUCACAUACGAGUGGGAACUGAAACCUUUAGGUACAGAGAUCUACAUUUGGCAUUAAAGCUGUCUUUUUGUUGCUCAGCCACUGUGGUAGCAGAUACAGCCUGAUCAUCGGGCAUGUCUUUCCUGACUGAAUGAGGAUUUGCCAUUGUAUUUGUUACUACAGGAUUACAGAUGCUUGUGUGGACACAUACAAAAGUCUGCAUAAAUAAGGCUGAGGUUUGCUUAACCACAUCCAGCUUUGGGAGGACCUGGCUGAGUGUAACCCAGGCAUAUUGAGCUUUUGGAUCUUGCCCAGAAAGGGACAAAUUAUGAACUUGGAAUUAGGACAGAGCAGUCACAGUCAUCAGGAAUUUCCCUGUAUGUGGUUUGAAGAGGGCAACUUUGCUAUCGUUAGCUGCACUUCCAACCCUCCACUUCUAAGAAGACUAUUUUACAGGUAUUGUGACAAACCUUUAAGAUGAAGGCAACAAGCGGUGUGUAAAGCCUUAUAAUUACAAGUCUCUGAGCUCCUUGAAGGGAUUCUGGUACCACAAGAGCCCCAAAGGCAGAGUCCUGGUAUGAGGCCGCUCAUACAGUUAUUAUCUGCUGCUGUUUCCCAAUAUAGCAAAGUUCAGAUGUCUACAUGAUAUGUUUGCAGCACUCUGCUGUCUGCAUCAUGCUUUCAGCUGCUCUAGGGAAAUUUUCAGGGAUGUUGUUGGACUGAAUUUAGACACACACACACACACAAAACAAUGUCCAAGCAGCUCACUCAGUAAAAUGGCACUCUCCCCCCUGAGGAAGGGUUUCUGAGUUUGCCUUACUCCUCCCCCCCUCCUCCCCCUCUCCUUCCCCCCAGUUAAAGAAGAGAAUUCACUCCUAUGUCACAGAUUUUAGACAGUUGUGUGGCACAGUGAAUGAUUUUUUUCCUCCCCCAGAUGGUGGGAAAUUGUUCUUUAACAGCCUCCCACUUGGUCAGUACAUGGGUGGUUCAUUGCCAAUGAAAACCCAGGUGCUGCUGGAUUCUUGUUAGUGAUUCAAGCAGCAGUCUUCCCUCUGAGUCAAGAGAAAACCAAUACCCCCAGAAAGGUUUUAAUAGGGGCUCCAUUGCAAAUUGCUCAGACAAGACAUGAAGUAGAGGUCCUGACCGUGUCUAGUCAUUAAAGAUCCCAUAGUGCUGUUUGCAGAGGUAAGAGCAUGAGUCCUCAGCUACUUUCCAUUCCCUUCUGCCUAUGUCUACCCUCCCUCACCCCAUAAUAUUGAUGUAAUUGUGUGCUGUCUUAAGUGAUUUGGGGCAGAUCUGCAUUUUAGUGAAUAAAGCCUUGCAAGAGUAUUGUUCA